UGCCUCGAUGACCGGGACAACCCGAGGAAGCUCGGGCUAAUACCGGAUGUGCCCGCAAGGGGAAAGGAAGCUUCGGCCUCCGCAUCGAGAUGGGCCCGCGGCCCAUUAGCUUGUUGGUGAGGUAACGGCUCACCAAGGCUUCGAUGGGUAGCUGGUCUGAGAGGACGAUCAGCCACACUGGGACUGAGACACGGCCCAGACUCCUACGGGAGGCAGCAGUGGGGAAUCUUGCGCAAUGCGCGAAAGCGUGACGCAUCAACGCCGCGUGGGGGAAGAAGGCUUUCGGGUUGUAAACCCCUUUCAGUUGGGACGAAGCUUCGCCGG
rnacentral:rRNA from 1 species